rnacentral:rRNA from 1 species
CACGUAGGGUGCGAGCGUUGUCCGGAAUUAUUGGGCGUAAAGAGCUCGUAGGCGGCUUGUCGCGUCGGAUGUGAAAGCCCGGGGCUUAACUCCGGGUCUGCAUUCGAUACGGGCAGGCUAGAGUGUGGUAGGGGAGAUCGGAAUUCCUGGUGUAGCGGUGAAAUGCGCAGAUAUCAGGAGGAACACCGGUGGCGAAGGCGGAUCUCUGGGCCAUUACUGACGCUGAGGAGCGAAAGCGUGGGGAGCGAACAGG